UGAUACAAAAGCCAGCCCUUCUUUACUGCAAUACUCAAAAUACAACGUAUGGUUGUCAUCUUAAUCACAGGGUAAAGCCUUCUUUCCGGGAGGAAGGGAAACUACUUCCCAGGUGGAGUUAGAUUCAAGGGCUUCAAGUUCUUGCUGCAUAGCUAAUGUCCAACCUGGAUGGAUAGCUGCUUGUUGGUGCUGGAUUGUGCACAACAGGGUUGUAUCUGGUUGAGGAGCUAGAUCCAGGUGUAGUGAACUUGUUAGCGGA